rnacentral:rRNA from 1 species
CCUACGGGAGGCAGCAGUGGGGAAUUUUGCGCAAUGCUCGUAAGAGUGACGCAGCGACGCCGCGUGAAUGACGAAGGCCUUCGGGUCGUAAAGUUCUUUCGACAGGGAAGAAAAUGCCUAUAAGUAACUGUGUAUGUAUUGACGGUACCUGUAUAAGCAGCCCCGGCUAACUCCGUGCCAGCAGCUGCGGUAAUACGGAGGGGGCGAGCGUUGUGCGGAGGGACUGGGCGGAAAGAGAACGUAGGCGGUGUGGUAAGUCAUUAGUCAAAGACUAGAGCUCAACUUUAGUAAGGCUAGUGAUACUAUAAUACUAGAGUAUCAGAGAGGAUUGCAGAAUUCCUGGUGUAGCGGUGAAAUGCGUAGAUAUCAGGAGGAAUACCGUUAGCGAAGGCGGCAAUCUGGCUGGAAACUGACGCUGAGGUGCGAAAGCGUGGGUAGCAAACAGGAUUAGAUACCCGUGUAGUC